AGGGGCGUAGUUCAACGGUAGAACGGCGGUCUCCAAAACCGCUAGUGCGGGUUCGAUUCCUGCCGCCCCUGCCA
rnacentral:tRNA from 1 species